GAUACAUAUCUGCAUUUUUCUGAGAUGGCAUCAAGAGGCUGCAAGCAUCGGGAAGAUGCAUUUUGCUAUGUCUGCGGCCAAUUUAUCAAGACAAGAGCGAAAAAAUACUCUGUGGAAGCAUCUGCUAAGAUGUGUGAGGCCUACAAGGCAUAUUGCGGCAUGCCUGUCGGGGAUCAAGACAAACCCUGGGCACCUCAUUUCAUCUGCGAGCAAUGCAAAAAAACUCUGGAAGGAUGGUACAGAGGGGAAAAUAGAGUCAUGAAGUUCGCUAUCCAAAUAAUUUGUCAGGAACCCACUGACCAUUCAAGCAACUGCUACUUCUGCAUGGUGGACCCUUAAAAACGUCGGACUGGCAAGAAUGCACCUGCUAUCACGUAUCCGGACCUUCCUUCAUCCAUCACCCCGGUGCCACACUGCCAUGAGCUCCCCAUACCCACUCGUCCGGAGAGCAGCCGCUUUUAGAAGAGAGCAGCAAGUCAGAGAGUGAGGAAGACAUAGAUCCAGAUGACAAUUUCCAAGGUGGAGCUUAGGAGAGAAACCCAUACUACCACAACCAAAAAGAUCUCAACGACUUUAUCAGAGACCUUGGUCUCACCAAGUCCAAUGCCGAGCUUUUGACGUCUAGGCUCAAGCAGUAAAACUUGUUGAAUGAAAGUGUGUAAGUCGCAGAUCAGAGGAAGCGUCACCAACUUUUUUGCAGCUUCUUCACCCGUCAAGAUAGGCUCUGCUUCUGCCACAAUGUGACAAGUCUGUUCGAAGCAAUUGGAAUCGCCUGUAACUAGAAUGAGUGGCGCCUCUUCAUUGACAGCUCAUCCAGGAGCCUCAAAGCCGUCCUGCUCCAUAAUGGUAACAAGUACCCGUCGCUUCCCCUGGCUCACUCGGUGCACCUCAAAGAGAAUUACAACAACAUCAAGACCUUUCUGGACGCCUUGAAGUAUGAUGAGUACGGCUGGGAGGUCAUAGGAGACUUCAAAAUGGUGGCAUUCCUGAUGGGUUUCAAAGGCGGUUUUAUCAAGUUUCCCUGCUAUCUUUGCCUUUGGGACAGCAGGAACACCAAGGCACACACUACCACAGGCGGGACUGGCCAUAGUGGACCGAGUUCUCUGUGGGGAGUAACCACAGAUAAAGAAGAUCCUGGAGUGCAAUGAACUCCCCAAGAAGCUAACUAUUAAGGAGAAAGCGGCUUGGAACAGCUUUGUCGCAGUGGUUCGUGGCUUCCUGGGCAAUCACAAGGUUGAAAACUAUGUGGAGCUGAAUUUUUAUUUAAAGGUUUCGUGACUGCAGGGAUUCAUAUUUUUGGUUCUUUCGGUAAAGUAACGUAGAAGGGAAAUAAUAAAAUAAUAAAAAUAUAAAACAAUAAAAAUUCUCACGACGUUUCGACUGCAACACAAGCAAUCAUCAUCAGGUGUGAAAUCCACAGCAAGAAAAUUUGAAAAAAGUGGUGGAAAAAACGCCACUUAUUUCAAAUGUUGUUGCUGUGGAUUUCACACCUGAUGAUGAUUGCUUGUGUUGCAGUCGAAACGUCGUGAUAAUUUUUAUUGUUUUAUAUUUUUAUUACUUUAUUAUUUCCCUUCUACGUUACUUUACCGAAAAGAACCAAGAAUAUGUGGAGCUGGUUGAGACUGGUGAAAAACUAUGGCACAAUGGGCUGUAGGAUGUCCCUCAAAGUCCAUAUCCUUGAUGCUCAUCUUGAUAAAUUCAAGGGGAACAUGGGGGCAUACUCGGAGGAGCAAGGCGAGCGCUUCCACCAGGAUAUACUGGACUUUGAACGCCGCUACCAAGGACAGUAUAACGAGAACAUAAUGGGAGACUACAUUUGGGGGCUCAUUCGUGAAAGUGAUUUACAGUAUAAUCGUAUAUCUCGAAAAACUACUUCUAAAUC